rnacentral:lncRNA from 12 species
CUGAUCUCCAAGAGAGGAACUAGCCAUAUAUCAGAUGAGGAGGUGUUGACCAGACAGGCUGAAAUGAAGGCUAGAUUGAACUACGCUCUGCUGUCUCCUUGCCCUUCUGGGACUUUCUCAGCCUCCACAUUCUGAUCUGGAAAACAAAAGAGAGACAGGUAUAGAAUCAGGAGCUCAAUAUUUCUUGCAGAGGAGAGUUAUGCCAAUUUCCAGGGUGAGAAGAACCAGGCCCUGGGUUCCUACGUAUCACUCACACCAGACUGGGAAAUUGCAAUCUGGUUGUGUUCAUCAGGUAGAGGAGGAAAUCUGCAAAGACCGAAGGACCGGAAAAAUGAAAGAUGCCAAAGAGAGAAGAGAACACAGGAUGGGCCCUUGCUGUGUUCAGGUGCAAUCGAGUUGUCUCCUUCUUCAUCGCCCUUCAAGCUGCAUCAUCCUGUUCCAUGCAACUGACAAGGGCAUUGAGGCUUGGAGAGACGAAGUCACUUGCCCAAGGUCACACAACACUGGCAUCAUCUGGGUUCUGUCUAAUGCUGACCGACUACAAAGCACCUGUGUUUAAGCUGCUACACUUCAUUAUUGGUCACCAGAGAGUGGGAACAGCAGUGCUUCACACUGAUGCUGCACAGAGGCUUGCCCUUCACCCCGACCAUCUAUUCAUGUUGGUGCUUCCUUGGGCCCUGUCCUUCCUAUGGAAAUGUUUAACAACUCUAUCCUAAUAAAGACCCUGGUUCCAAGGGCUUUUAUUAUCAACCGCACUCCACAGAUAAGAAAGAUGAGGCACAGAUUAGUUACAUAAUCCUGCCCACAGUCACAAGAUUAACGGGUGGUUGAGCCAAGAGGUCAACCCAAGGUAGUCUGACUCCAAAUCUCCAAUGAUGGUGGUGGUGUGCCCCGUUAUCAGGGUAAAUGCUCGCUUUUGCUUCCCCGGGGGGACACAGAAACAAGAAAAGGCUCGGAUGGGAGGCAAGAGAUGAAUUAAUUUUCCUCUUCAUAGGAGGAAAACAGGCAAAAGACAAAACAACAAGAUUGAGUUUUCUGUUAGCAAAUACAUUUGCAGUGUUAGGAAUUUCAGAUAUUUGAAAGGCAAGGGGGAUUUCACAAAAAUCGGGAAUUUCAGGAAAUGGGUCUCGAAGUGAAUCCAAAUAUGCUCAAAGGAAGAGUGUUGUGAAGAGGUCAGGGAAUAUGAGAAAGGAAAAAAAAAAUCCAAAGUGAGUCGAAAAAAAAAAAAAAAAAAAAAAACAAAGUGAGUCGAAUCAGACUACAAAAAUAUUACUACUACUGCUAUAAACAUUUAUUGAAUACUUACUAUGUAGCAGCCACGGUUAUAGACAGCACGUUCCCUGGGUUAGAAUGAUCAGCAAACACACUCAGAACCUCCUCAAGAACAUGGAGUCAACAAGCAAUGGAUAGAUUUGAUUACAUGAGCAAUAAUAUCUCUUUAUAUCUCUUUAACUGAAAUUCAUUUUAAAAUAUUAAGUCAAUAAGGCUUAGUCUUUGAAUGAUUCUAGAUUCUAUGAUUCCAGAUGCAAAACAAGAUUCUAAGGAUAUAGCCACAGAGACAACCUGCUUGAAGAGUUGAUUAUAGUAAAACAAAACAAGCAAACCCCCCCCCAAGCUAGAAGAUGACAUAAACCCAUGACAGGUUUAUGUAAAAUGUAGGAGCUAGGAAGAAGCAUACUAUGAGGGUUACCCGAAGGUGAGAAAACGAGACUUCUAGGAAUAUUGUCCAAGGAACACCACUGAUUUAGGUGUAGCUAGGUGUAGCUAGAAGUCAGUAAUAGAUAUACUCAGAGCUCAGGUAGGCCUAGGGAUAUGCACUUUGACAAAGAACCUUCCUCUACCUUUUUCUCGUAAGCUGGAAGUCUCCUAAAGACACCAUAAUUUCAUUUGGUCACAGUAGUAAAAAACAACGUACAUAGUCGCUAAGUAUGUCUACAGAGACUUACUCAUUAACAUAUCUAAAUUUGAAGCAUAUUUGCUUAAAUUUCAAAUAGCUCUCUACCCAUAAGGAUAGAAAUAUUACAUUUAAUAUGACCCAUGACUGAUGGAAGCAAGAUGAACAAUGAAUAACCUAGGAGCUCCUGCAUGGUGAGGGUAUGGUGUUUGGAAGUUUAAUAUUCCUUCCCUAAGGAGUUGAAAGGUACAGGGAGUCAAGGUGAAGUGAGGACCCCUAAUGGGUGUAUAAGGUCAUUGUUAGGGAUGAGCUGUCCCUCCUCCAGCACUCCUCUGCACCACCCCUCAGGUCCUUGGUGAAGUAGUUGAAGCAAGCUCUGCCACUCUGUGGGACACACACACACACACACAUGCACACACACACACACACACACACACACACACACCCUGGGAGAGAGAGCUGGCUUCUGCACAUUUCAUAAGAGCCUUAGGUGUGGCCAUUACCUUUAAGCCUAAUGAAGCUAUAAUUAAGGAAGAGUGAAACAUGAAGCAGAAGAAGCCCCUAUUGUGGUAUUUUCACUAAGAGCAGAGGCUCCUCUAGGUCAAGUGAACUCCCAUAUUUCUUCCAAAAAACAUCUCCUUGUCCAGGGAGAGUAAAGGAAAAGAAGACAAAGAUUUAAAAAAAAAAAAAGAAAGAAAGAAAAAAAAGAAGAAGAAGCUGGUAUGAGAACAACUGGCCUAGCUAGACUUCAAAGAUUUCACUGGAAGGAAAAACCAAGCAGGAAGGAAUUGCAAGAUAUUUGUAAUGCGCAUGUGCUGUACAACUUAUAAAUGGCACAUAUCUAACAUUUCUGUAUGUUUCAUAUCCAGUGUUAUGAGAGCAUUAGAAUCUGUUAGAGAGACCAGAAGGCAAAUAAAGAAGGUAAAGAAACUGAAUGUAGAGGUAAG